UACAGAGGGGGCAAGCGUUGUUCGGAAUUACUGGGCGUAAAGCGCGCGCAGGCGGCCUUUUAAGUCUGACGGUGAAAUGCCGGGGCUCAACCCCGUGCCCGCCGCGGAUACUGGGAGCUGGAGACAUGUAGAGGCAAGCGGAAUUCCGGGUGUAGCGGUGGAAUGGCGUAGAGAUCCGGAAGAACACCGGAGGCGAAGGCGGCUUGCUGGGCAU
rnacentral:rRNA from 1 species